rnacentral:rRNA from 1 species
AAAAAAGGUAAGCUACUAAGAGCGAAUGGUGGAUGCCUUGACUGGUAAAGGCGAUGAAGGACGUACUAGACUGCGAUAAGCUACGGGGAGCUGUCAAGAAGCUUUGAUCCGUAGAUUUCCGAAUGGGGCAACCCAAUGUAUAGAGAUAUACAUUACCUAUAUAGGAGCGAACGAGGGGAAUUGAAACAUCUUAGUACCCUCAGGAAAAGAAAUCAAUAGAGAUUGCGUCAGUAGCGGCGAGCGAAAGCGCAAGAGGGCAAACCCAGUGCUUGCACUGGGGGUUGUAGGACUGCAAUGUGCAAGAGGUGAGUUUAGCAGAACAUUCUGGAAAGUAUAGCCAUAGAGGGUGAUAGUCCCGUAUGCGAAAAACAAACCUUAGCUAGCAGUAUCCUGAGUAGGGCGGGACACGAGAAAUCCUGUCUGAAGCUGGGUCGACCACGAUCCAACCCUAAAUACUAAUACCAGAUCGAUAGUGCACAAGUACCGUGAGGGAAAGGUGAAAAGAACUGAGGUGAUCAGAGUGAAAUAGAACCUGAAACCAUUUGCUUACAAUCAUUCAGAGCCCUAUGUAGCAAUACAGGGUGAUGGACUGCCUUUUGCAUAAUGAGCCUGCGAGUUGUGGUGUCUGGCAAGGUUAAGCAAACGCGAAGCCGUAGCGAAAGCGAGUCUGAAUAGGGCGCUUAGUCAGAUGCUGCAGACCCGAAACGAAGUGAUCUAUCCAUGAGCAAGUUGAAGCUAGUGUAAGAACUAGUGGAGGACUGAACCCAUAGGCGUUGAAAAGCCCCGGGAUGACUUGUGGAUAGGGGUGAAAGGCCAAUCAAACUUCGUGAUAGCUGGUUCUCUCCGAAAUAUAUUUAGGUAUAGCGUUGUGUCGUAAUAUAAGGGGGUAGAGCACUGAAUGGGCUAGGGCAUACACCAAUGUACCAAACCCUAUCAAACUCCGAAUACCUUAUAUGUAAUCACAGCAGUCAGGCGGCGAGUGAUAAAAUCCGUCGUCAAGAGGGAAACAACCCAGACUACCAGCUAAGGUCCCUAAAUCUUACUUAAGUGGAAAACGAUGUGAAGUUACUUAAACAACCAGGAGGUUGGCUUAGAAGCAGCCAUCCUUUAAAGAAAGCGUAAUAGCUCACUGGUCUAGUGAUUUUGCGCGGAAAAUAUAACGGGGCUAAAGUAAGUACCGAAGCUGUAGACUUGCGCACAACUUAGAUUAUUUAAGUUUAGAAUAUGAGAAACUAAGUUAUAUGUUUAGUUAUAUUUUUACUGAUUUUUAUAGAGUAAAGAUAGAAAUAAAACUUAGUAAAAUCAGUAAAAAUAUUCUUAGACUAAAGUUAAGUAGUUUAAGUUGUGUGCAAGUGGUAGGAGAGCGUUCUAUUUGCGUCGAAGGUAUACCGGUAAGGAGUGCUGGAGCGAAUAGAAGUGAGCAUGCAGGCAUGAGUAGCGAUAAUUAAUGUGAGAAUCAUUAACGCCGUAAACCCAAGGUUUCCUACGCGAUGCUCGUCAUCGUAGGGUUAGUCGGGUCCUAAGUCGAGUCCGAAAGGGGUAGACGAUGGCAAAUUGGUUAAUAUUCCAAUACCAACAUUAGUGUGCGAUGGAAGGACGCUUAGGGCUAAGGGGGCUAGCGGAUGGAAGUGCUAGUCUAAGGUCGUAGGAGGUU